UAAUACGUAGGAUGCGAGCGUUGUCCGGAUUUACUGGGCGUAAAGAGCGCGCAGGUGGCAUGUCAAGUACUCAGUGAAAUCUCCCUGCUCAACGGGGAGGGUGCUGAGUAGACUGGCAAGCUAGAGGACGGUAGAGGGGGGUAGAAUUGCUGGUGUAGCGGUGAAAUGCGUAGAGAUCAGCAGGAAUACCCGUGGCGAAGGCGGCCCCCUGGGCCGUACCUGACGCUGAGGCGCGAAGGCUAGGGGAGCGAACGGGAUUAGAUACCCCGGUAGUCCUAGCAGUAAACGAUGGCCACUAGGUGUGGGGGGUGUUGACCCCUCCUGUGCCGAAGCUAACGCAUUAAGUGGCCCGCCUGGGGAGUACGGUCGCAAGACUA
rnacentral:rRNA from 1 species